UUCCCGUCAGCGCCCGCGCCUCGCUGUCGCGCAAAGCCGCCGGCGGCAGCCGCGGUGCCUGCCGGGAGUCGUAGUCCCAGCGUGCCCCGCGCGGAGCCCGCGCCGCCGCUCGCGCUGCCGGGGGUCUCUCAGCGCGGGGGCGGCGCCGGCGGCUGCUCCCGGGGGUCCCGGCGGAGGCGGCUCCGGCCGUGUCGGGCGAGGAGGAGGCGGCCGAGCUCCCCACGGCUGAGCGCCGGGCGGCGAGCGAGCGCAGGAUGGGGGGCGCGUGGCCGGCGGGGCCCUGUGGGCGGUGGUGGAAGCGGCCAGCGCCGGCGCCUCGGUUCUCUGCCUGUGUGAGAAGGGAGAUGCCAAGGUCACGGAAGAGACAGGCAAGAUGUCCAAGAAGGAAAAAGAAAUGAAAACAGGAAAGUGCCGGGUCCUUGUUGCUGUUCCGAGGGUGGUGUUUCUCACAGAGCCUGCGGCAGCUGAUCUUCAAGAUCCUGCAGGAGAUGUGCAGCCUACUGGCAGUACCUCCUAGGCUACCUGCUGCUCGGGGGCUUCAUGGCCUUGGGGGUGUGCUCCAGGAACGGCCCAGUGGAGAACCAGCGCAGCAUCUGUCGCCUCUGCUGGGGCCUGCAGCUCCUGCUCACGGCUCAGGCAUCCAGCUCCAUUCUGUGCUUGCACCAAGAACAUCGAGCACGUGACCUCUUGGGCCCAGACCUCAGUCUCGCCACUGCUGGGGCUUUUGCUGUGUGUUUGUUUCCCUUCCAGGCUUCACUCUUCUUCUGUGUCUGCCUUUUCCUCACUGCCCUCUUUUCUGCCUGGUUCUGUGUUCUUCCAUCCCCUCUGUGGGUUCAAGUCUGUUUCUGGUUUUAAUAAAGAUGUA